AUAGGCUAAAUGCAGACAAAUGGGGCAGUUUCAGUUUGGGAAACCCGGUUGACAUUGACAAGUUGGGCCAAAGGGCCUGUUUCUGCACUGUAUACUUCUAUGACUUAAGUGCCUUAAAUGCUGGUGAGUUGAGAAAAUUAUCCAUGGGUCUUCUUGUCCUGCCCACAUUUGCUGAGGUGGUGAGAAAGUUGUGAGUUUCUGUUCAUUUAUCACCAUCUCCAUGGAGGGGAUAAUCAUUGUCUGUCUACCUUAAAAGUUCCCCUUAGUAAUGUAAAUUCCAGGGAAUACAGCUUGUUUGUGUAAUCAUUCUUCAUAUUAAUCCUUGGGAGUCCUGGUAUUCAGAUUAUUUGAGUCCAAUCUAUCCAAUGUGAUGUGGGAACCAGAUCAACUCGUGGUUGGAAUAUUAGAUUUUUUUUCCAUUUAAUUAACUUCCUUGUACCAUGCGUUUCCUUGUGAAAAACUGUUGCUGACUAGGUCAAACAUUUACCCUUACCUGUUCUGCUAAAAUUUAUGCUGCUCAGACGCCUGCUCAUCAUGCCACACAGGGAACUUCCAGUGGUCCAGGAUCUUGUUACAUCGCACAGAUUUUCCACUUAGCAAAACAUUCCCCUUAUUGUCAAACCCUAGGACCUCUCCCAUGGCCCCACACUCAGUGCUGCUAUAAGCUACCUCAUGCCGACAGACUAAUAAUGCAUUGCAUAAUAAAAAGGACAACAGCCUUAAAGCACCAAUCUGAAAGCACUGUCAGGAAAGAUCAGCAACUCAUAAAAGCAAGAAGAUCCAAGCAGCAGCUAAAGCAGCAACAGGGAAAAGUGACAGAUACUUGGAUUAGAAGAAAUAAAUCGAAACUCACAUUACCAGCUAGGGUAGGGAAUGGCAGAGCCCAAGAAAUUCAAGAAACAUGUUCAGGACAUCUUCAGCUUGAUGUUUCAGUGACUAACACCACGUUAAUGAACUGAACAAGAAAAAGCUAUCAAACCAGAGUUCAAGGGAAGAGUGAGACGAUUAAUCAGUAUGUGACACUGAUACAUCUAGCUGGAUCCUGACAGUCUGGACAACUGAAAGAUAAUGUCAUCACCUUGACUUGUCUUUGGCAAAAGGGAUCCUGAUGUAACAGCGCAUUUGCUUACAGGAGUAACUUACUCAUCAGAACACUAUCAAUGUGUGCAGAAGCUCCUAGCACGUCAAUUGUUAUAAUAGUCGUAAAUACGAAUGACCAAAUUUUAAUUUCCUUCAUCUGAUUGUCAUACCCGACAUCUUUAUCAUAGACUAAAAUAAUUUCAAAAAGGAAGAAAUUCAGUGGAAAAAUACACCUAUAGAAGGCAUGGAAAGUUGCUACUCCAAAGACUCAUUUUACACUGCAGCUGAAGCCAAAAAUAAUAACAAAUGUGUGAGUGACAAAAUCAAAGUAAAAUGACAGAACACCAAAUCAUAUUUUGAUGUAACUACCAAGUCAUUGCCAAAAUUUAGGGCAGUGAUGAAUAUCUCAACAUGACUGUGUCAAAGUAUUCCACGCUCAAAUAAUUUUUGUAGAAAACAUUUUCCUAUGCUCACUCUCAGCAAUAAUCACAAAUUGAUGACCCCUCAUCAAUGACUCUAUUCAAAGAACAUAAUCUUUGCUCAUUCAUUCGUUUAAGGAUGCCAAAAAUAAUAACAAAUGUGUGAGUGACAAAAUCAAAGUAAAAUGACAGAACAUAUUUUGAUACAACUACCAAGUCAUUGCCAAAAUUUAGUAAUCGAAAUCAGUCGAAAAACACUUAACAAAAGUCUCCCACAUGGCCACUUGAGACCUGGGUAGUCCAGCAUGCUGAACAUGAAUGAAUAUAUGUAAUCACAACUGCAAAUAUCUGUGUACAACAAGAGAAGCUGUACCUUCACUGCAGGCAGUGGAUCAAGAAGAAGUGAUCUCACCAUCUACACAGAGUAGAACAACAAUUAGUCUUAUGGGUCAAGUGUUCCCCAGCAUCAGAAAUGGAUCAGCAACAGUUACCGUGGCAAUGAUACUUGCCAUAGGAGUGAUACGUGCCAAAGAGGAGACACCGCUCUGAAAGCAAAAAGAUACCAGAGGAACAGCCAACAACAAUAUGCAUACGUACUGUUAGGACAUCUGUAUGAUUUAAAGACUGUAUACAACGCAUGUGCAAAGACUGAUGAAAGUGGAGCAGACUGAAAUCGUUGUAUUGUUUGUUAAUAGAUAGCACAUUUCUUUGUGAUCCAUGUACAUUGGACAACUGUGAUAAUCUUUAAAUACAUCUUGUUUCUUUUUUUUGUGAAUGCGAGAUAUUUGGAGAAGUGAAAUUAUAUUGGCUCGCUUGUGUAAACACUUGACCUGUACCUCUGCUGUAACAGCCUUUGAUGUGGUUUGUAGGAGUCGUUAAAACACAAUCACUUGAGAUUAUAGUUUAUUCCUUAGUUAAAACCAAAACUGUUCAUGAAUAAAUGGUCAUUUACUUAAAAA